rnacentral:misc_RNA from 1 species
GUUGACGUGGCCGCCGGAGAUGUUAGCACCGACGGAGACGGCGACGAACAACCCGAAGGCGUGUGCUAUGGAGGCGGAAAUAAGGCCAGCGGGAGUAGCGACGCCAUCGGUAAGCUUAUUGAAAGCCAUACCAGAACCCUGACCUGCGAAUACGAAGAUCAGGGUACUGAUGAACUCCGCCAAGGCCGCUUUAAGCGCCCCGGGAUGGCGGAGUUCCUCAUGGCUUCCAAUAGUAAUUUGGUUGAUCGGCAUUUUUAACGAGAAAAUUAACAAUUGAAAAUUUUCA